GACAGAGAGAGAGGCACAGAGCGACACAGAGAGAGAGAGAGCUGCUGAAGACGGAGGGAGGAAACAUCGUUUGACCCGCCGUUUGCUGCCGACAAGCUCCACUACACCACAGAGUAGACUACGAGGUUGAAGUCCACAUGCCUGACCAGCAUGAGGAGGAGCAAGAUGGUGGUGAUGAGCAUGAGGUGCCUUUUAGAUGCUCAUCCCCUUUACCAGGCCCAUAUGCUCUGAGAAUCUCACCCUUUUCCUAAGGCAGUCUCCUGUAAGAAGCCCACCCCCUUUGAGAAUCACCCCCCCUUUCAGUUAGCACCUCGUACUCACCACCUCGUCAUAAAAUGUGUAGUAAGUAUCAGUGCUAAGUAUUUUACACCUAGAUUCCAGCAUUAUUAUUAUUAUUAUUAUUAUUAUUAUUAUUAUUAUUGUUGUCAUUGUAUUGUUGUUAUUAUUAUU
ensembl:lncRNA